GUAAAUAAUUAAGGGCGUAUGGUGGAUGCCUAGGCUCUCAGAGGCGAAGAAGGACGUGAUAAGCUGCGAAAAGCUCCGUUUAGGUGCAAAUAACCUUUGAUGCGGAGAUCUCCGAAUGGGAUAACCCAAUAUGUUGAAGACAUAUUAUACCGUAAGGUAGGCAAACGCAGGGAACUGAAACAUCUAAGUACCUGCAGGAGAAGAAAACAAAAGUGAUUCCCCCAGUAGCGGCGAGCGACCGGGGAUAAGCCCAAACCGUUAUUGUUUCGGCAGUAGCGGGGUAGUAGGACUGCAAGUUUGAUGAAAUAAAUGAAAUGGAACACCUUGGAAAAUGUGAUCACAGAGGGUGAUAAUCCCGUACAUGCAAGUUUAUGAAUCAUAGCAGUAUCCUGAGUAAGUCGGGACACGUGUAAUCCUGACCGAAUCCGCCGGGACCAUCCGGCAAGGCUAAAUACUCCCGAGAGACCGAUAGUGAACCAGUACCGUGAGGGAAAGGUGAAAAGCACUUCGAACAGAAGAGUGAAAUAGUCCCUGAACCCAUACGCCUACAAGCUGUCGGAGCCGCUUCGUGCGGUGACGGCGUGCCUUUUGCAUAAUGAGCCUACGAGUUACUCAUCACCAGCGAGGUUAAGUACUUCAGGUACGUAAGCCGAAGCGAAAGCGAGUCUGAAUAGGGCGUCAAGUUGGUGGUGGUAGACGCGAAACCUUAGUGAUCUACCCAUGGGCAGGGUGAAGGUUUGGUAACACAAACUGGAGGCCCGAACCGGUAAACGUUGAAAAGUUUUCGGAUGACCUGUGGGUAGGGGUGAAAGGCCAAUCAAACUGGGAAAUAGCUCGUACUCUCCGAAAUGCAUUUAGGUGCAGCCUCUGUUGUUUUGUUCUAGAGGUAGAGCUACUGAUUGGAUGCGAGGGCUUCACCGCCUAUCAAAUCCGGCCAAACUCCGAAUGCUAGAACAUGAAGACAGGGAGUGAGCCAGCGGGUGCUAAGGUCCGUUGACGAAAGAGGGAGAACUCAGACCAUCAGCUAAGGUCCCCAAUUAUAUGCUAAGUUGGAAUUAAAACGGGGUGGGACUGCUUAGACAGCUAGGAUGUUGGCUUGGAAGCAGCCAUUCAUUUAAAGAGUGCGUAACAGCUCACUAGUCGAGCGGUCCUGCAUGGAUAAUACGCGGGCAUAAGCAUAUAACCGAAGCUAUGGGAUUGUAGAUGAUACAAUCGGUAGGAGAGCAUUCCAUUCAGCAUAGAAGCAGUACCGUGAGGUAUUGUGGAGCGGAUGGAAAAGCAAAUGUAGGCAUAAGUAACGAUAAUGCGGGUGAGAACCCCGCACGCCGAAAGAUCAAGGAUUCCCCGGCAAUGUCAAUCAUCCGGGGGUAAGUCGGAUCCUAAGGGUAAGCCGAGUGGCGAUCCCGAUGGCAAACAGGUUAAUAUUCCUGUACUGAUCAUAACUGCGAUGCAGCGACGCAGAGGUGACACUGCUGCGUACUGACGGAAUAGUACGUUGAAACCCGUAUUCUUUGAUACCGGUAGUGAAGCACGCCGGUAGAGAUGAAAGGUGAUAGUACCGCAAUGCUUCGGUUGCGCGGAUAAUGCAGGUAAGCUGACUGCCAAGAAAACCUGCUAAGCUUCAGGUAAUGAUCAUCCGUACUGUAAACGGACACACGUGAUCAGGUAGAAAAUACUAAGGCGCUCGAGAGAUUCAUGGUUAAGGAACUAGGCAAAAUGGUCCUGUAACUUCGGGAUAAAGGACGCUCUUGUGAAAGAGCCGCAGAUAAUAGGCCCAGGCGACUGUUUACCAAAAACACAUGGCUAUGCUAAUUCGCAAGAAGAUGUAUAUGGCCUGACACCUGCCCGGUGCCGGAAGGUUAAGAGGAGAGCUCAGAUGUAAGUCGAAGGUUUGAAUUGAAGCCCCGGUAAACGGCGGCCGUAACUAUAACGGUCCUAAGGUAGCGAAAUUCCUUGUCGGGUAAGUUCCG
rnacentral:rRNA from 1 species